CAAAUUCAGGCAAAGUCAGUAGAGCACAAAAGCAGUGCACUGAACCUGAAAUAGAUUGGAAAACAUACUCUAUUCGAUUGUUAGCAGUUGCAGGUAAUGAGAAAGAAGCCUGUGAAAAGGUGACAAUUGCAGAAGAGACCUCUAAUGUCGAAGAGAACUUUACUAAGCAAAAAAGAAAAGUCAAAGAAGAUUUAAUUGAAAGUACUGAUUCAGAAAGUAAAUACAGCAAUAG